rnacentral:rRNA from 1 species
GACGAACGCUGGCGGCGUGCUUAAUACAUGCAAGUCGAACGGAAAGACCCUGCUUUUGUGGGGUGCUCGUUUGGCGAACGGGGGAGUAACACGUGAGUAACCUGCCCUUGUCUUUGUGGUAACUUCACGAAACUCGGGCUCAUACCGCAUAGGAUCUCCUGCUGCGUGUUGGUCGUUGGAAAGUUUCGGCCGUUGGGGAUGGUUUGGCGGCAUAUCCGCUUGUUGGUGGGGUAGUGGGUUACCAAGGCUUGGACGGGUAGGCCGCCUGAGAGGGUGACCGGCGACACUGGGACUGAGGGAAGGCAGAGGCAGCUACGGGAGGCAGCAGUGGGGAAGCUUGCACAAUGGGCGGAACGCGAAUGAAGAAGCGCCGCGUGCCGGAUAACGGUGUUAGGGUUGUAAACCGAAUGUGCAUGUAACGAAGCGUGAGUGAAGGGAAUGGAUAAAGAAGGACCGGCUAACUACGUG